rnacentral:rRNA from 1 species
UUAUUACUUUUGCAUAAAGCCGCGUGAAGUGAGAAGGCCUUCGGAUCUGUAAAGCUCUGUUGUAAGGGAAGAACAGAGUAUUGGUAGUACAUGCCCGUACCUUGACGGUACCUUAUUAGAAAGCCACGGCUAACUACGUGCCAGCAGCCGCGGUAAUACGUAGGUGGCAGAGCGUUGUCCGGAAUUAUUGGGCGUAAAGCGCGCGCAGGCGGCCCCUUAAGUCUGAUGUGAAAGCCCCCGGCUCAACCGGGGAAGGUCAUUGGAAACUGAUAGGCUUGAGUACAGAAGAGGAAAGCGGAAUUCCACGUGUAGCGGUGAAAUGCGUAGAGAUGUGGAGGAACACCAGUGGCGAAGGCGGCUUUCUGGUCUGUAACUGACGCUGAGGCGCGAAAGCGUGGGGAGCAAACAGGAAUAGAUACCCUGGUAGUCCACGCCGUAAACGAUGAAUGGUAAGUGGUGGGGGGUUUUCCCCCGUUGCUGAUGGAGCAAAAGGAAUAACGCCUCCGGCGGGGGAGGGCCGCCGGAAAGCUGAAACUCAAAGGAAAUGGCCCGCACCCGCACCGGCGGAGGAUGUUGUGGUUUAAUUCGAAGCUACAACAAUAACCUUACCAGGUGUUGACCUCCCGGUGGUCCAGAUAGGAGAUAUAUCUUUUUCUUCGACAGACGAUGGCAUGGGUGUGCGUCAUGGCGUGUCCUCGAG